AACAGGAUUAGAUACCCUGGUAGUCUCGGCCCUAAACGAUGAUCACUAGGUGUCAGGGGGUUUCCCUUGGUGCCGCAGCUAACGCAUUAAGUGAUCCGCCUGGGGACUACGGCCGCAAGGUUGAAACUCAAAGGAAUUGGCGGGGGCCCGCACAAGCGGUGGAGCAUAUGGCUUAAUUCGAUGCAACGCGAAGAACCUUACCCAGGCUUGACAUGUAACUGCAAGCUCCCCAAAAGGAGCCGCCUUCGAGGGUGUUACACAGGUGGUGCAUGGCUGUCGUCAGCUCGUGUUGUGAAAUGUUGGGUUAAGUCCCGCAACGAGCGCAACCCUCAUGUUAUGUUGCCAGCGAGUAAUGUCGGGAACUCAUAACAAACUGCCUAUGUAAAUAGGAGGAAGGUGGGGAUGACGUCAAGUCAUCAUGCCCCUUACGCCUGGGGCUGCACAUAUGCUACAAUGGAUGCUACAAACAGUUGCGAACCCGCGAGGGGAAGCUAAUCUGAAAAAAGUAUUCUCAGUUCGGAUUGGAGUCUGCAACUCGACUCCAUGAAGCCGGAAUCGCUAGUAACCGCAGGUCAGCAUUACUGCGGUGAAUACGUUCCCGGGCCUUGCACACACCGCCCGUCACGUGACGAAAGUUGGUUUUGCCCGAAGUCGUUGAGCUAACCGCAAGGAAGCAGACGCCGAAGGUAAAGCCGAUGAUUGGCGCGAAGUCGUAACAAGGUAACC
rnacentral:rRNA from 1 species